AAUACAUUAGCUCAUUGGGUAGAGCAAUUGACUAAUAAUCAAUAGGUAGAAGGUUCAACUCCUUCAUGUAAAAUUUUA
rnacentral:tRNA from 1 species